rnacentral:piRNA from 1 species
UGCAAGUGGCUGGCGAAGGUGUCAAAGAGA